rnacentral:lncRNA from 1 species
AUGUGGCACAUGGGGACGUGGUCAGCGGGCACGUCCCAUGGGAUGAGGUUGGGCUUGGGGAUCUUGGAGGUCUUCUCCAACCUCAGUGAUUCUACGAUUCUCUGUUUCUGUGAUGCUAUGCCCAUGUCACAGGCACCCCAUGCGACAGCCCCGUGGGUGCUUGCCUGGUGCGUGCGGACAGACAGAGCUGCUGGCCUCGGAACAGCUGCGUCCCCGAGUCACUUAUGGAACCAAGCCAAGAGGCUCUCGCACACCUUUUUUAUAGGUGUGCGUUAUUGCACACAGCGCACCUGCGGUCCCGUGUCAGUGCUCCCAGGGCUUCUUCUCUUCUGUUCUCCUCAUGGAAUUAAUUAAAGGGGAAAAAAAAGGGAAGAAAAAGGCAAUCUCUCCCUGCUGGUGUGAGUUCCUUUUCUCAGCAUUGAGAAAGCUACUUAUAGGGGCGUGUUUUUGCAGUGUUUUAAAAAAUAUUUGGGAGCAGUCAUUAAGUUGAGAAUGGGAUAAACAGAAGAACUCAAGCCAUCCAUUCACUACAGCUUCUUAUUCCCCCUUGGUGAGUUACAUCAUCAUCUCCGCUGCAUUUUUCAUCAUUACCUAAGAAGAUUAAUGGCUCUUGGAUACCAGCGUGGUUUCAGAAGUCCAGGCUCUCCUUGGUGUGCAUUCAUAUUGUGUAAUUCCCUAGCUUCCAGGGGAGAGGAGCUCUCUGGUAGAACAAAUUGCUGAGGUGGGAGGAGUGCCUUGCCUUGGCACUGGGAAGGCUGCCGGCAGCAGGGGAAUUCGUGGAUGUCUGAAUGGAAUAAUAUGGGAGUGGGGCUCCAAAAGAGGCUCUGACCAUGAAUGAGGCUUAGUGCCUCACGUACAGGGACAGAGGAGCAUGGUGGUCCUUGGCAUGUUAUACAAUGUCUCUGCACUCGUCAUGUUUUCAGAAUUUUUAUAUUACCAAGUCUUUUUUAUGCUAAGGGCAAUAAAGCACUGGCAAGGCUGGCCCA